CUGAUUUAUCUUUCAUCACUAGGGGGACUUGGAGACGAGUAAGAAUCUCUAUACUAAUGUAUUUGAGGUAGGAGUCACAGAAAAACCAGGAGAGCAUACUGUAUGGCAAUAUGGUACUGGGGGCAGUGCUUUUUAUGACCUACAGUACCACUGGACAUUAAAAAGAACACCUGCUGUAUCCUCCCAGCAAACACUGGGGCCACGGUGCUUUCUCCUCUAAUGACACCUCAUCAAUCCGCUCCUAUCAACAUCCCAGCCAUGGAGGUGACUUGGAGCGCUCAGAAGAGAGGAAAAAUGUCAACGUUUUGGGAGAAAAGGAAGGACCAAGGAUCCAGGCAGUUUGGGAUUCAGCAAUAGCUGUCAUUUUUUGACUUCACACAGACACUUUCUUUGUUCAGUGUUUCUAUUUGGGGUUCCUGUUUAUGCUGGA